UGUUAAAAAGUUUAUUCAUUUUUAUUAUUAAAAAUUGGCAUGCUGACAAAAUAACCAAACACACUGACAUAUAGGGAUUAGUUUUUAAGAGUAGAAAUGGAUAAAUUUUUUAACA
rnacentral:pre_miRNA from 1 species